GACGAACGCUGGCGGCGUGCUUAACACAUGCAAGUCGAACGAAGAGCGAUGGAAGCUUGCUUCUAUCAAUCUUAGUGGCGAACGGGUGAGUAACGCGUAAUCAACCUGCCCUUCAGAGGGGGACAACAGUUGGAAACGACUGCUAAUACCGCAUACGAUCUAAUCUCGGCAUCGAGGAUGGAUGAAAGGUGGCCUCUAUGUAUAAGCUAUCACUGAAGGAGGGGAUUGCGUCUGAUUAGCUAGUUGGAGGGGUAACGGCCCACCAAGGCGAUGAUCAGUAGCCGGUCUGAGAGGAUGAACGGCCACAUUGGGACUGAGACACGGCCCAGACUCCUACGGGAGGCAGCAGUGGGGAAUCUUCCGCAAUGGACGGAAGUCUGACGGAGCAACGCCGCGUGAGUGAUGACGGCCUUCGGGUUGUAAAGCUCUGUUAAUCGGGACGAAAGGCCUUCUUGCGAAUAGUGAGAAGGAUUGACGGUACCGGAAUAGAAAGCCACGGCUAACUACGUGCCAGCAGCCGCGGUAAUACGUAGGUGGCAAGCGUUGUCCGGAAUUAUUGGGCGUAAAGCGCGCGCAGGCGGAUAGGUCAGUCUGUCUUAAAAGUUCGGGGCUUAACCCCGUGAUGGGAUGGAAACUGCCAAUCUAGAGUAUCGGAGAGGA
rnacentral:rRNA from 1 species